rnacentral:rRNA from 1 species
AUUCCAGCUCCAAUAGCGUAUAUUAAAGUUGUUGCAGCUAAAAAGCUCGUAGUUGGAUUUCUGACAGGGAGCCGAACACCACUGUAGUGAGUGUUUUGGUACCUGUCAUCCUUCUGUUAACCCUAGCGUCAUUCAUUUGUCGUUGGGCGGACCAGAUACUUUACCUUGAGAAAAUUAGAGUGUUUCAGGCAGGCCUAGCCGGAAUACAUUAGCAUGGAAUAGUGGAAUAGGACUAUAGUCUCGUCGUUGGUUACGUGGACUGCAGUAAUGAUUAAUAGGGAUAGUUGGGGGCAUUAGUAUUUAUUAGCUAGAGGUGGAAUUCUCUAAUUUGAUAAAGACUAACUUAUGCGAAAGCAUUUGCCAAGGAUGUUUUCAUCG